rnacentral:misc_RNA from 1 species
GAUGAAGAACGUAGCAAAAUGCGAUAAGUAAUGCGAAUUGCAGAAUUCCGUGAGUCAUCGAAUCUUUGAACGCACAUUGCGCCCUUUGGCAUUCCGAAGGGCAUGCCUGUUCGAGCGUCAUUUAUCAACCCUCAAGCCCGGCUUGCGGUUGGGUCCCGCCGUGGGCGACCACGGCGGACCCGAAAGGUAAUGGCGGUGCCCGUGGGGCCCUGGACGCAGCGAGCUUCUCGGCACGCGUCCCGGCGGUCCCCGGCGCCGUCUCCACCAAUCCACCACGCAGAUUGACCUCGGAUCAGGUAGGGAUACCCGCUGAACUUAAGCAUAUCAAUAGCGGAGGA